AACGAACGUUGGCGGCGUGGAUUAGGCAUGCAAGUCGAACGAAUCCCAGCUUUGUAGCAAUACCGAGCUGGGGGAAGUGGCGAAAGGGGCAGUAAUGCGUGGGUAACCUACCUCGGGGACCGGGAUAGCCUUUCUAACGAAUGGGUAAUACCGGGCGAUGUGGUCGAGGGGCAUCUCUUGGCCAUGAGAUGAAUUUCGCAAGAAAUCUCGCCUCGGGAGGGGCUCACGUGCUAUUAGCUAGUUGGUGAGGUAACGGCUCACCAAGGCAAAGAUGGCUAGCGGGUGUGAGAGCACGACCCGCGCCACUGGCACUGAGACACUGGCCAGACACCUACGGGUGGCUGCAGUCGAGGAUCUUCGGCAAUGGGCGCAAGCCUGACCGAGCGACGCCGCGUGUGUGAUGAAGGCCUUCGGGUUGUAAAGCACUGUCGAGGGGGAGGAAGCCGAAAGGUUGACCUAUCCCUGGAGGAAGGACGGGCUAAGUUCGUGCCAGCCGCCGCAGUAAAAC
rnacentral:rRNA from 1 species